rnacentral:rRNA from 1 species
UACGUAGGGGGCUAGCGUUGUCCGGAAUCAUUUGGGCGUAAAGCGCGCGUAGGCGGUCAGGUAAGUCCGGUGUGAAAGUCAAAGGCUCAACCUUUGAAUGCCGCUGGAAACUGCCUGACUUGAGUCCGGAAGAGGAGAGUGGAAUUCCGUGGUGUGAAUGCGGUGAAAUGACGCAGAUAUCAGGAGGAACACCGGUGGCGAAGGCGGAUCUCUGGGCCUUACCUGACGCUCAGGCGCGAAAGCUAGGGGAGCGAACUGG